GUAAUCGUAGUUUGGGCGACCACCGGUGUGGCGAACCGAAUUCUCAUGGCCGAGCCGCUGAGUCUCGGGGAACUACCAACAUGGCAGAAAAGAAAAGGCACUUCCUGUGCAGGUUGUGAUCACUUCCUGUGUCUGCCGCACGGUCCUGUGGGAAAUGUGGUUUGUCAUCCCUCAGUGGACAGUUCCCCGGGAAUCGUCACCCAGCACCCGAGCAGGGGUGGAGGACAAGGACCCUCAUACUAGGGCUCCGGCUGGCCGUCCCUCUCCCUCCGGAGCCCGAUCGCAGGCAGGAGCAGGCAGGCACGUCCGUCCGUGAGUCCGUCAGUCAGUUCCUUCCCCCGGCCGCCCGCCCGCCUGCCCGGGAAGCGAAGGAGGUUUUUCUUGAAACGUUGUGAAAAGUCCGUGUGGUGCAUGCGCACGGCGGGAAGAAAGACGCGAACCCUGGAGAGAGUCAAUGAAUUUCAUUGCAAUUUUAAUGAAUUCCUCGAUUACACAUUCAUGCCGUUUUCAAAAUAAAAGUUUUCUUUAUGAAAA